GAUGAAAGACGGUUUCGGCUGUCACUUACAGAUGGACCCGCGGCGCAUUAGCUAGUUGGUGGGGUAAUGGCUCACCAAGGCGACGAUGCGUAGCCGACCUGAGAGGGUGAUCGGCCACACUGGGACUGAGACACGGCCCAGACUCCUACGGGAGGCAGCAGUAGGGAAUCUUCCGCAAUGGACGAAAGUCUGACGGAGCAACGCCGCGUGAGUGAUGAAGGUUUUCGGAUCGUAAAGCUCUGUUGUUAGGGAAGAACAAGUGCGAGAGUAACUGCUCGCACCUUGACGGUACCUAACCAGAAAGCCACGGCUAACUACGUGCCAGCAGCCGCGGUAAUACGUAGGUGGCAAGCGUUGUCCGGAAUUAUUGGGCGUAAAGGGCUCGCAGGCGGUUUCUUAAGUCUGAUGUGAAAGCCCCCGGCUCAACCGGGGAGGGUCAUUGGAAACUGGGAAACUUGAGUGCAGAAGAGGAGAGUGGAAUUCCACGUGUAGCGGUGAAAUGCGUAGAGAUGUGGAGGAACACCAGUGGCGAAGGCGACUCUCUGGUCUGUAACUGACGCUGAGGAGCGAAAGCGUGGGGAGCGAACAGGAUUAGAUACCCUGGUAGUCCACGCCGUAAACGAUGAGUGCUAAGUGUUAGGGGGUUUCCGCCCCUUAGUGCUGCAGCUAACGCAUUAAGCACUCCGCCUGGGGAGUACGGUCGCAAGACUGAAACUCAAAGGAAUUGACGGGGGCCCGCACAAGCGGUGGAGCAUGUGGUUUAAUUCGAAGCAACGCGAAGAACCUUACCAGGUCUUGACAUCCUCUGACAACCCUAGAGAUAGGGCUUUCCCUUCGGGGACAGAGUGACAGGUGGUGCAUGGUUGUCGUCAGCUCGUGUCGUGAGAUGUUGGGUUAAGUCCCGCAACGAGCGCAACCCUUGAUCUUAGUUGCCAGCAUUCAGUUGGGCACUCUAAGGUGACUGCCGGUGACAAACCGGAGGAAGGUGGGGAUGACGUCAAAUCAUCAUGCCCCUUAUGACCUGGGCUACACACGUGCUACAAUGGACAGAACAAAGGGCUGCAAGACCGCAAGGUUUAGCCAAUCCCAUAAAUCUGUUCUCAGUUCGGAUCGCAGUCUGCAACUCGACUGCGUGAAG
rnacentral:rRNA from 1 species